rnacentral:rRNA from 1 species
GACGAACGCUGGCGGCGUGCUUAACACAUGCAAGUCGAACGGUAAAGCCCCAGCUUGUUGGGGUGGAUCAGUGGCGAACGGGUGAGUAACACGUGAGCAACCUGCCUCUGACUCUGGAAUAAUCGCUGGAAACGGCGUUUAUUACUGGAUACGAGAACGGUCCGCAUGGGCACUUUCUGGAAAGUUUGGCGGUUGGGGAUGGGCUCGCGGCUUAUCAGCUUGUUGGUGGGGUAGUGGCUCACCAAGGCGACGACGGGUAGCCGGCCUGAGAGGGUGACCGGCCACAAUGGGACUGAGACACGGCCCAGACUCCUACGGGAGGCAGCAGUGGGGAAUAUUGCACAAUGGGCGGAAGCCUGAUGCAGCGACGCCGCGUGAGGGAUGACGGCCUUCGGGUUGUAAACCGCUUUCGGCUGGGAAGAAGCGUGAGUGACGGUACCUGCAGAAGAAGCACCGGCUAACUACGUG